rnacentral:pre_miRNA from 1 species
AGCAUGAUUGCUGGGUCAUAUGGAAAGAGUAUGUUUUGUUUUAUAAGAAAUCAUCAAACUGUCUUCCAAAGUGGCUGUACCAUUUUGCAUUCCCACCAGCAAU